UUGAACGCUGGCGGCAGGCCUAACACAUGCAAGUCGAGCGGAUGAAGGGAGCUUGCUCCUGGAUUCAGCGGCGGACGGGUGAGUAAUGCCUAGGAAUCUGCCUGGUAGUGGGGGAUAACGUCCGGAAACGGGCGCUAAUACCGCAUACGUCCUGAGGGAGAAAGUGGGGGAUCUUCGGACCUCACGCUAUCAGAUGAGCCUAGGUCGGAUUAGCUAGUUGGUGGGGUAAAGGCCUACCAAGGCGACGAUCCGUAACUGGUCUGAGAGGAUGAUCAGUCACACUGGAACUGAGACACGGUCCAGACUCCUACGGGAGGCAGCAGUGGGGAAUAUUGGACAAUGGGCGAAAGCCUGAUCCAGCCAUGCCGCGUGUGUGAAGAAGGUCUUCGGAUUGUAAAGCACUUUAAGUUGGGAGGAAGGUCAGUAAGUUAAUACCUUGCUGUUUUGACGUUACCAACAGAAUAAGCACUGGCUAACUUCGUG
rnacentral:rRNA from 1 species